GAUGAAGAACGUAGUGAAAUGCGAUACUUGGUGUGAAUUGCAGAAUCCCGUGAACCAUCGAGUCUUUGAACGCAAGUUGCGCCUCAAGCCAUUAGGUUGAGGGCACGUCUGCCUGGGCGUCACAUAUCGUUGCCUGAUGCCAGUUUCCUCGUGAUGGGUGACUGUGCAGGGCGAAUGAUGGCUUCCCGUGAGCAUUGUUGCCUCAUGGUUGGUUGAAAAUUGAGUCCUUGGUAGGGAGCGCCGUGAUAGAUGGUGGUUGAGUGACGAACGAGACCCAAUCAUGUGAGACCCCUACCGAAUUUGGCCUUCAUGACCCACAUGCGUCUUUGGAACGCUCAUGACGAGACCUCAGGUCAGGCGGGGCUACCCGCUGAGUUUAAGCAUAUCAAUAAGCGGAG
rnacentral:misc_RNA from 1 species